rnacentral:rRNA from 1 species
CCAGCGCCGAUGGUAGUGUGGGGUCUCCCCAUGCGAGAGUAGGUCACCGCCAGAC